UAUGGCUUUUUAUUCCUAUCUGACGGCUCUGGAGGCUCAUAUAGGGAUGGAAGCCAUGCA
rnacentral:pre_miRNA from 1 species